GGGGUUGUGGCUCAGUGGUAGAGCACUCACUUAGUAUGUGUGAGACCCUGGGUUCCAUCCUCAACACCA
rfam:Ictidomys tridecemlineatus contig022545, whole genome shotgun sequence.